AUUGAACGCUGGCGGCAGGCCUAACACAUGCAAGUCGAGCGGAGCGGCGGACGGGUGAGCAAUGCCUAGGAAUCUGCCUGGUAGUGGGGGAUAACGUCCGGCAACGGGCGCUAAUACCGCAUACUAUCAGAUGAGCCAAGGUCGGAGUUGCUAGUUGGUGGGGUAAAGGCUUACCAAGGCGACGAACCGUAACUGGUCUGAGAGGAUGAUCAGUCAGACUGGAACUGAGACACGGUCCGAUCUCCUACGGAAGGCAGCAGUGGGGAAUAUUGGACAAUUGGCGAAAGCCUGAUCCAGCCAUGCCGCGUGUGUGAAGAAUGUCUUCGGAUUGUAAAGCGCUUUAAGUUGGGAGGCGUUUCCAACAGGAUAGGCGCCGGCUAACUUCGUGCCAGCAGCCGCGGUAAUUC
rnacentral:rRNA from 1 species